rnacentral:rRNA from 1 species
UAGGGAAUCUUGCGCAAUGGGCGAAAGCCUGACGCAGCCAUGCCGCGUGAAUGAUGAAGGUCUUAGGAUUGUAAAAUUCUUUCACCGGGGAAGAUAAUGACGGUACCCGGAGAAGAAGCCCCGGCUAACUUCGUGCCAGCAGCCGCGGUAAUACGAAGGGGGCUAGCGUUGCUCGGAAUUACUGGGCGUAAAGGGCGCGUAGGCGGAUAUUUAAGUUGGGGGUGAAAGCCCGGGGCUCAACCUCGGAAUAGCCUUCAAUACUGGAUAUCUUGAGUUCGGGAGAGGUGAGUGGAAUGCCGAGUGUAGAGGUGAAAUUCGUAGAUAUUCGGCGGAACACCAGUGGCGAAGGCGACUCACUGGCCCGAUACUGACGCUGAGGCGCGAAAGCGUGGGGAGCAAACAGGAUUAGAUACCCUGGUAGUCCACGCCGUAAACGAUGAGUGCUAGUUGUCGGCAUGCAUGCAUGUCGGUGACGCAGCUAACGCAUUAAGCACUCCGCCUGGGGAGUACGGUCGCAAGAUUAAAAACUCAAAUGAAUUGACGGGGGUCAUAGCUGUUUCCUG